rnacentral:misc_RNA from 1 species
AUUGGUCAAUAUUUUUGGCAGUUUUUUGAACAUGCUGUCUAAUAGUUCUUGCUAUGCAUGUAUGGUUUUACGAAUAUUCAGCAUGAUCAGAUAUCUUUGUGCUUAUGUUGAUGUAGCUCCUGACUUCUCAUUCUUAGUCCUUGAAUUGCAAUUUUAUCAAUUUUCUUGUUAUUGUGCAUAUUUCAAUAUUAUGCUUUAAAGCAAAUGACAUAUCAGUCUGAACUCCAAGGUACUGGCAACUCAGCACAUUUUUGAGAAAAUUAGUUAUUGCAGUUCAAAUUUUAAGGUUUCUCAAGACAGGUGAUGUUUGAUGAUUUUCUUGAUAAAGUAGGAUAUUUUGAAUUUCACAUUUUGGAUAAAUCAUAAAAAUACUAGUGCAUGUAUCUGGUCUAUUUUGUUUCAGGUGAUGAGAGGUAUUAGUUGUCCAAGCAAGAUGGAAACUAGAUAAUAUAGUCCAGGUCAUCCAAAUUAAUAAUUUCUUUAACUUUAUUACUAAAUUGUGAGCUUAAACCCUAUCCCAACCCCACUUUACGU